UACGAAGGGGGCUAGCGUUGUUCGGAAUUACUGGGCGUAAAGCGCACGUAGGCGGGUCGUUAAGUCAGGGGUGAAAUCCUGGAGCUCAACUCCAGAACUGCCUUUGAUACUGAAGAUCUUGAGUUCGGGAGAGGUGAGUGGAACUGCGAGUGUAGAGGUGAAAUUCGUAGAUAUUCGCAAGAACACCAGUGGCGAAGGCGGCUCACUGGCCCGAUACUGACGCUGAGGCACGGAAAGCGUGGGGAGCAAACAGGG
rnacentral:rRNA from 1 species